ACUGUUCAUCUGAUAUCUUUGAUAAGAGCAUACGAGAGACCUUCCCAUCGUGGAUCUUGAUCAGGCAUAUACAUCACAGGGAAAGCACACAAUACAUCCGCAUCCCCCGCUCAUCUCGCUUCUCCCUUUACAGCUGCCCAUUUAUCAUGAGGGUCUGGGGGAUAUAAAUCAAGCUCCUUUUCCGGAUCAAUAAUCCCUGGGUCAAAAGGACUAUCCAGGUCAGAAU